GAUGAACGCUGGCGGCGUGCUUAACACAUGCCAGUCGAACGAAGCACUUUAUUUGAUUUCCUUCGGGACUGAUUAUUUUGUGACUGAGUGGCGGACGGGUGAGUAACGCGUGGGUAACCUGCCUUGUACAGGGGGAUAACAGUUGGAAACGGCUGCUAAUACCGCAUAAGCGCACAGCAUCGCAUGAUGCAGUGUGAAAAACUCCGGUGGUAUACGAUGGACCCGCGUUGGAUUAGCUAGUUGGUGAGGUAACGGCCCACCAAGGCGACGAUCCAUAGCCGGGCUGAGAGGGAGACCGGCCACAUUGGGACUGAGACACGGCCCAAACUCCUACGCGAGGCAGCAGUGGGGAAUAUUGCACAAUGGGCGAAAGCCUGAUGCAGCGACGCCGCGUGAGCGAAGAAGUAUUUCGGUAUGUAAAGCUCUAUCAGCAGGGAAGAUAAUGACGGUACCUGACUAAGAAGCACCGGCUAACUACGUG
rnacentral:rRNA from 1 species